rnacentral:rRNA from 1 species
CCUACGGGAGGCAGCAGUGGGGAAUCUUGCGCAAUGGGCGAAAGCCUGACGCAGCCAUGCCGCGUGAAUGAUGAAGGUCUUAGGAUUGUAAAAUUCUUUCACCGGGGACGAUAAUGACGGUACCCGGAGAAGAAGCCCCGGCUAACUUCGUGCCAGCAGCCGCGGUAAUACGAAGGGGGCUAGCGUUGCUCGGAAUUACUGGGCGUAAAGGGAGCGUAGGCGGAUAGUUUAGUCAGAGGUGAAAGCCCAGGGCUCAACCUUGGAAUUGCCCUUGAUACUGGCUAUCUUGAGUACGGAAGAGGUAUGUGGAACUCCGAGUGUAGAGGUGAAAUUCGUAGAUAUUCGGAAGAACACCAGUGGGCGAAGGCGACAUACUGGUCCGUUACUGACGCUGAGGCUCGAAAGCGUGGGGAGCAAACAGGAUUAGAUACCCUGGUAGUCCACGCUGUAAACGAUGAGUGNUAGUUGUCGCAUGCAUGCAUGUCGGUGACGCAGACUAACGACAUAAGUACACUCCGCCGUCGGGGAGGUACGGUCGGCGAAGAAGUUAAAACUAACAAAUAGUAAGUUAGUACGGACGUGAGACGUGCCGAACGGACGACGACGAGGGAGGAGG